rnacentral:rRNA from 1 species
AGGACGAACGCUGGCGGCGUGCUUAACACAUGCAAGUCGAACGGAAAGGCCCUGCUUUUGUGGGGUGCUCGAGUGGCGAACGGGUGAGUAACACGUGAGUAACCUGCCCUUGACUUUGGGAUAACUUCAGGAAACUGGGGCUAAUACCGGAUAGGAGCUCCUGCUGCAUGGUGGGGUUGGAAAGUUUCGGCGGUUGGGGAUGGACUCGCGGCUUAUCAGCUUGUUGGUGGGGUAGUGGCUUACCGAA